AUGCUGCCCACUAAACGCGGAUGUCCCUUCAUGGACAGUGACAUAACACCUCCUAACUGGGCAAAAUAUUGAUGAAGUUCCUGGAUGUUAAUGCAUUUUCAGUGGGGAUUCGCGGCUGAACACACUCAGAGAAACACUCGCAAAAUACGUGUUAAAAUGCCAUUCUGACCUGGAUAUCAAGCCAGUAAAAUUAAUUAACAUUAAAUCAUCACCCACUCAUUUUUGAUCAGGAUAUGUCAUUCAA